rnacentral:misc_RNA from 1 species
GAUGAAGAACGCAGCGAAAUGCGAUAAGUAAUGUGAAUUGCAGAAUUCAGUGAAUCAUCGAAUCUUUGAACGCACAUCGCGCCCGCCAGUAUUCUGGCGGGCAUGCCUGUCUGAGCGUCAUUUCAACCCUCAUGCCCCUAGGGCGUGGUGUUGGGGAUCGGCCAAAGCCCGCGAGGGACGGCCGGCCCCUAAAUCUAGUGGCGGACCCGUCGUGGCCUCCUCUGCGAAGUAGUGAUAUUCCGCAUCGGAGAGCGACGAGCCCCUGCCGUUAAACCCCCAACUUUCCAAGGUUGACCUCAGAUCAGGUAGGAAUACCCGCUGAACUUAAGCAUAUCAAUAAGCGGAGGA